rnacentral:lncRNA from 1 species
CUUGGUGGUGUGCCAAGAAUCAUGAAAUUUUAAAGUGGUGGUUUUUGAGUUUUGUUGGUUGGAAAGUGUCACAAAUGCAUGCAGAAUGAGGUCUAGAAAGUUUGGUAUCAAAACCAAGCCAUCUUGAUGUGGUUUUGAAUUUUUGAAAUGUUGGAAAUAGAGGGUUUGGUAAAGAAAGAGUAUAUUGAUAAAUAUCUUUUUUCCAAAAUCAAAAGAGCGAUUAGGUAAAAAAAAAUAAAGGAUUCUUAAUUAGCUCGUUAUCCUAGAUAAAAAAAUUAGGUGAAAAAUCGAUUAGAGAGAGUCCGUUCAUGGGUUUGACUUGUUUUCUAGGUAUAUAUACCUAGAAUUCUCUGUUUUGACCAUAUCGCACUAUGUAUCAUUUGAUAAUCCAAUGAAUCUCUGAUUCUUUAUUUGACCGUGUUUGCUGUUUUUUCUUAAUUACAAAUGGCUGGAUCUUCAAGUGAUGCAUCCUACAAGCAGAAUUCUCCUUCCAAAGCUUCCAUUCUUGGUGAAUUACAUGAAGCUCAAAGAACAAUUAGACGGUUGGAAGAGAAAAUGCAAAAGAUGGAGGUCCAACAAGCUAGACCAUCUCCUUCUAUCCAUGAUGGGCAUCAUUC